rnacentral:rRNA from 1 species
GAUGAACGCUGGCGGCGUGCCUAAUACAUGCAAGUCGAGCGAACAGACGAGGAGCUUGCUCCUCUGACGUUAGCGGCGGACGGGUGAGUAACACGUGGAUAACCUACCUAUAAGACUGGGAUAACUUCGGGAAACCGGAGCUAAUACCGGAUAAUAUAUUGAACCGCAUGGUUCAAUAGUGAAAGACGGUUUUGCUGUCACUUAUAGAUGGAUCCGCGCCGCAUUAGCUUGUUGGUAAGGUAACGGCUUACCAAGGCAACGAUGCGUAGCCGACCUGAGAGGGUGAUCGGCCACACUGGAACUGAGACACGGUCCAGACUCCUACGGGAGGCAGCAGUAGGGAAUCUUCCGCAAUGGGCGAAUGCCUGACGGAGCAACGCCGCGUGAGUGAUGAAGGUCUUCGGAUCGUAAAACUCUGUUAUGAGGGAAGAACAAAUGUGUAAGUAACUAUGCACGUCUUGACGGUACCUAAUCAGAAAGCCACGGCUAACUACGUG